CCUACGGGAGGCAGCAGUGAGGAAUAUUGGACAAUGGGCGCAAGCCUGAUCCAGCCAUGCCGCGUGCAGGAAGAAGCAUCUAUGGUGUGUAAACUGCUUUUGUACGGGAAGAAACACCUCUACGUGUAGAGGCUUGACGGUACCGUAAGAAUAAGGAUCGGCUAACUCCGUGCCAGCAGCCGCGGUAAUACGGAGGAUCCAAGCGUUAUCCGGAAUCAUUGGGUUUAAAGGGUCCGUAGGCGGUUUGAUAAGUCAGUGGUGAAAGCCCAUCGCUCAACGAUGGAACGGCCAUUGAUACUGUCAGACUUGAAUUACUAGGAAGUAACUAGAAUAUGUAGUGUAGCGGUGAAAUGCUUAGAUAUUACAUGGAAUACCAAUUGCGAAGGCAGGUUACUACUAGUGGAUUGACGCUGAUGGACGAAAGCGUGGGGAGCGAACAGGAUUAGAUACCCUGGUAGUCCACGCCGUAAACGAUAGGAUACUAGCUGUUGGGAGCAAUCUCAGUGGCUAAGCGAAAGUGAUAAGUAUCCCACCUGGGGAGUACGUUCGCAAGAUGAAACUCAAAUGAAAUUGACGG
rnacentral:rRNA from 1 species